rnacentral:misc_RNA from 1 species
GCGCCGGAUGCCGGAAAGUUGGUCAAACUUGAUCAUUUAGAGGAAGUAAAAGUCGUAACAAGGUUUCCGUAGGUGAACCUGCGGAAGGAUCAUUACCGAUAGAAUAAUCCAAGACGAGUCUUUGAGACUUGUUUACUGUGUGAAUUGUACGCAAUCUUUUAGGGGUCGGUCUCUGUGUCGUUAAAUGGUCGUCCGCCGCUUGGCGUGCGUUCGGUCAGCCCCGACUUUAUGUUUUUACAAACUUUGUUUAUUCAGUCUGAGAACCAACAGUGUUGGAAAACGAAAAAGAGAAAGACAACUUUUAACGGUGGAUCUCUUGGCUCACGCAUCGAUGAAGAACGCAGCCAGCUGCGAUAAGUAGUGUGAAUUGCAGAAUUCAGUGAAUCAUCGAAUCUUUGAACGCAAAUGGCGCUCUUGGGUUCUCCCAGGAGCAUGUCUGCCUGAGUGUCGGAUAUCAUCCAACGCC